CUGGGGCGGCGGCAGCAGCAACAGCAUCAGCUCUUCUCUUUGGAGGCCUGGCUGGCUCUUUCUGGGCUCCCCAAAGCCUCCUUUGUCUCCCGGCUAAUCAGCCUUCCGGGCUUCCUGGCGGCCACAGUAGGUGAGCCAGGGAAAGUGAUGGGGAAGAGUGUUUGUUUUAAUGCAGCAACAACCGACUCGCCUGACGCGCUUGAGGCUGUUACCUAAGAAAGCGCCGCUUUAUCGGAGUUGACGAAGUGGAGUCGGUGAGUCUGACAGGCUCCACCAAGAGAGCCAAGGAGGAAGAGUCUCAACAUCUUGGCGACCAAAGCAACGUAUAAGCUGCCCUCCAGUUUGUCCACAGGAGAGCAAAAGCCAAAAUGGUGGCCACGAGUUUGUGACGAAAACAUCUUUACUGUUCUGACUGUUAAUUUCAAAGAGCUUGUUGAGGCACAACGUUGACGGCAUCAGCUAAAGCGCAAACUUUUGAGAGCCUGUCUCUCUCUUCCCUGGAUGAGAUAUGGCAGAAAGAAGCGAAGAAGGGAAAAAGAAACGUUUCAUUUGCUGCAGAAGCCAGAAAAAUCACAGGAAUAAAGCGAUGAUAAAUGUUCAGUUGGCGUCUCCCUGUUGCUGUGAUGAGUGUUCAGUUGCACAAGACAAAGCAAAUGCAGAGACAUAAAUCUAUAGAUUCUUCUUAAAUCCACAUGGGAAACGUGGGUUUCUUCAGAGAUAAAGUACAGUAUAUUAGGAGCAAAAGAAGAGAGAGGAUUUUUUUAAAAAAACCAAUAUGGUGGUCAAGUCAAGUUGCAGAUUGGUUUGUACCGCUGAAAAUUUCAAAAGAAUGUUAAAAUUAUCACUUCUUCAUCUA